CCCCUAUGUAAGCCUGACCUAUCCCUGUCUUCCUACUUCAAACCCCAUGUGUCACUAUACGGUACACAGGGACUCUGUCACUUAGUGCAAGAAAAACCUACUUAGAAGAAACGAAGAGUUGUCUGAGUGCUGCAUUAAUCGUAAAGCCACCGUUCUAAGUCUCUAGGUCUAUGUUAGCCAACCUGCCUUCAGCUCUAGAAAACAUGUAGGCCCACAUCUGCGAUCAAUCUCAUCCACCAUGAUGAUCCAGUUAGGUCUUCCAAGAGAUUAACACAGCAAACAUUUCCGAGCACUGACCAAGCUAGACGCUUUGCUGAAACUUUGCAUGGAUUGUUGUGCAGUGGCCCUCACAGCAGUCUGCGAGGUUGGGACUAAGUGUAUUCUCAAAGGAGAUAGGUAACUCGGGCCUGGUGAGGUUGACUUGUCCAAAAGCCAGAGGGCCAGCAAAAGACACCCUAGCAAGGCAGGCGUAUUGCCUCACAUUCCUCACGGCUAUUGAAAAGGGACCCCUUCCCUAGUUACUGCAGACCACUCCAGCAAGGGGACAGCUCUGACAGGGUCUCCCAGAACCUUGCAUGGCUCCCUCUCUGCAGAACUUACAGACUCAGAGAAGUGAGGAAGCUUCUUUAUUCUCAGAGCAGGUUGAACUGGGUGGCUUUAUCUCAAAAUUCCUGGAAGAAUGCUGACCAACGGUUCAUUCUAUUCAGAGCGCUAUUGUUUUCCCAACAUCCAGUCUUCCCAAGACAGUGAGGGCCAUAGGGAUGACCUCAAGCAAGAUGCCUCUGCAGACCUCACACAUCAAUAAAACUGAAUGGACAUUAUCUUCCCCAUUUGAAAAGCUCCCUGCCAUUUGUAAGCACAAUGCUUCCUCACAAAGUACAUUGUGAGAUGGGGGCAGUACAAUGGCAGAAUGACUGUCAGUGUCCCCAAUUUAUAGGUAAGGAAACAAAGGCUCUAAAUGACAGAAAGCAUCCAUCAACUUGCCUCCCAAGAUGCUUUCUGGCUCGGGAAAUUGCAAAAGAAAACGUAAGUGAGAAUAAGAACCGCGGGUACGCAGACAACAUUUUGCCAGCAGUGUUUCAGAAUACCAAUGCUGCUUUAGUCAGUGAAGUGAAUUCACGGGAAGAACUAUUUUGGUAUAUAAUUGUGAUCAGUUCAAAUAAGUUUCUCUGAAGUCUGGCUACAGGCAGGCCGCAUACCCUACGGCUGUGUCCUCUGUUUGUGGCAUGUACCGGACCCCAGCCCAGCCCACAGGCUAUACUGCUAUCAGUGUUUCAAUAAAAAGACUUCCCACCAGCUUCCA
rnacentral:lncRNA from 1 species